rnacentral:rRNA from 1 species
CCUACGGGAGGCAGCAGUGGGGAAUAUUGCACAAUGGGGGAAACCCUGAUGCAGCGACGCCGCGUGCGUGAAGAAGUACUUCGUUAUGUAAAGCCCUAUCAGCAGGGAAGCAAAUGACGGUACCUGAGUAAGAAGCCCCGGCGAACUACGUGCCAGCAGCCGCGGUAAUACGUAGGGGGCAAGCGUUAUCCGGAUUUACUGGGUGUAAAGGGAGCGUAGACGGGAGUGCAAGUCUGGAGGGAAAGGCGGGGGCUCAACCCCCGGACUGCUGUGGAAACUGUACGGCUUGAGUGCAGGAGAGGUAUGUGGAAUGCCUAGUGUAGCGGUGAAAUGCGUAGAUAUUAGGAGGAACACUAGUGGCGAAGGCGGCUUACUGGACUGUAACUGACGUUGAGGCUCGAAAGCGUGGGGAGCAAACAGGAUUAGAUACCCGUGUAGUC